rnacentral:misc_RNA from 1 species
UGAUUUAAUUUACUAUGAAAAGGUAGAACACAAGAGAACAUUUUUUUUGGUUAAGAUUAGAUGCUGUUUAUUGAAAUUUAUGUCAAUCAUACACAUUUUUGAGAUUAAUGGACUAAAUUGAGGCCAUGUAAGAAACAAUUAAACCAAAGAUACUUUAUAAAAGUUUUAUCGUGCAUUUUGGAUUUUCAAAGAAAAUUAACGCUUAUUAGUGAUGUCUCUAAUAUUCGUUUUGUAUAUAGAAUAAUGUAAAUAUCCAUUUUUGUGUAUAGUUUCACUCUAUUUGUAUAUUAUAUUUUGUACUUUUUUACCUCAUGCUUUAUAUAAAUGUACAUGUAUUAUAAUUUUUCUUAAGAUUUUUUAACCUUAGUAACAUUACUGUACAUUUUGAUUAAAAGUUAUGUAAUGCAGUUAUGUAAUUUUCCAACAAUGCCUUAAAUGGAAAAGACAGUUUAAGAAUAAGUGUUGAUGUUACAUGUCUAAAAACGUUCUUCGUUAAUGCUUUCUUGCUUAGUUAACCUGUAGAUUUUAAAGUAGUUUUAUACAAUGAUGUUAAAAAAACUGAUUUUAUUAAAGAUGCAAUUUUUUUUUUCAAUUCAAAAACCUGAAAAUAUAAAGACUUCAAAGACUAUUGUAUUUUUUUUUUUGUGUACAAAAUGCAGAAAUAUUCUUUGAUAGCUUUGAUGAAUAUAGGUUGCCUUUAUCUUGUAUAAAAAAUACUUGUGUAUGUACUGACCAUAAAGUUGAUAUUUAAUAAAUCUAAAU